UGCGGGAUGACGGCCUUCGGGUUGUAAACCGCUUUUGACAGGGACGAAGCGCAAGUGACUGUACCUGUAGAAUAAGGACCGGCCAACUACGUGCCAGCAGCCGCGGUAAUACGUAGGGUCCGAGCGUUGUCCGGAAUUACUGGGCGUAAAGAGCUUGUAGGCGGUUCGUCGCGUCGUUUGUGAAAACUUGGGGCUCAACCUUAAGCUUGCAGGCGAUACGGGCGGACUAGAGUACUUCAGGGGAGACUGGAAUUCCUGGUGUAGCGGUGAAAUGCGCAGAUAUCAGGAGGAACACCGGUGGCGAAGGCGGGUCUCUGGGAAGUAACUGACGCUGAGAAGCGAAAGCAUGGGUAGCAAACAGGAUUAGAUACCCUGGUAGUCCAUGCCGUAAACGGUGGGUACUAGGUGUGGGGCUCCUUCCACGGACUCCGUGCCGUAGCUAACGCAUUAAGUACCCCGCC
rnacentral:rRNA from 1 species